GAUGAACGCUGGCGGCGUGCCUAAUACAUGCAAGUCGAACGCGCAGCGAGAGGUGCUUGCACCUUUCAAGCGAGUGGCGAACGGGUGAGUAACACGUGGAUAACCUGCCUCAAGGCUGGGGAUAACAUUUGGAAACAGAUGCUAAUACCGAAUAAAACUUAGUAUCGCAUGAUAUCAAGUUAGAAGGCGCUACGGCGUCACCUAGAGAUGGAUCCGCGGUGCAUUAGUUAGUUGGUGGGGUAAAGGCUUACCAAGACGAUGAUGCAUAGCCGAGUUGAGAGACUGAUCGGCCACAUUGGGACUGAGACACGGCCCAAACUCCUACGGGAGGCUGCAGUAGGGAAUCUUCCACAAUGGGCGCAAGCCUGAUGGAGCAACGCCGCGUGUGUGAUGAAGGCUUUCGGGUCGUAAAGCACUGUUGUAAGAGAAGAAUGACAUUGAGAGUAACUGUUCAAUGUGUGACGGUAUCUUACCAGAAAGGAACGGCUAAAUACGUGCCAGCAGCCGCGGUAAUACGUAGGUCCCGAGCGUUGUCCGGAUUUAUUGGGCGUAAAGCGAGCGCAGGUGGUUUAUUAAGUCUGGUGUAAAAGGCAGUGGCUCAACCAUUGUAUGCAUUGGAAACUGGUAGACUUGAGUGCAGGAGAGGAGAGUGGAAUUC
rnacentral:rRNA from 1 species